CUGCUCGCUUCGGCAGCACAUAUACUAAAACUGGAAGGAUACAGAGAAGAUUAGCAAGGCCCCUGCUCAAGGAUGACACGCAAAUUGAUGAAGCGUUCCAUAUUUUU
rnacentral:snRNA from 1 species